rnacentral:rRNA from 1 species
AGAGCGAACGCUGGCGGCAGGCCUAAUACAUGCAAGUCGAACGGAUCCUUCGGGAUUAGUGGCGGACGGGUGAGUAACACGUGGGAACGUACCCUUUGGUUCGGAACAACUCAGGGAAACUUGAGCUAAUACCGAAUGUGCCCUUCGGGGAAAAGAUUUAUCGCCAUUGGAGCGGCCCGCGUCUGAUUAGCUAGUUGGUAGGGUAAAGGCCUACCAAGGCUACGAUCAGUAGCUGGUCUGAGAGGAUGAUCAGCCACACUGGGACUGAGACACGGCCCAGACUCCUACGGGAGGCAGCAGUAGGGAAUCUUGCGCAAUGGGCGAAAGCCUGACGCAGCCAUGCCGCGUGAAUGAUGAAGGUCUUAGGAUUGUAAAAUUCUUUCAGCGGGGACGAUAAUGACGGUACCCGCAGAAGACGCCCGGCUAACUUCGCGCCAGCAGCCGC